ACGCGGGGUGCCAUUUGAUAUUCAUGAGGUGUCAUCCUGUUUCAAAUGUUCCCUCUGGUGUU
ensembl:miRNA